CUCUGAAACAACAGAGCAACAUCUCACACUGUUGUUCAGUACAUAUAUUGGUUUUUCAUAGCAUUCUGAACAUAAUACAGUAAACUUUUUUUUUUCCAGGAAAAAGAGCCGUAUCCUAUGCUUUUAAACAACCUUCGUUUCUCUAGUCAUGAAAUUAAUAUGCAGAAAUGGAAUUACACUGGUGAAGCUCACAGGAAGAGGCUUUGAGGAAAGACAGAGGCCAAAAUGACUUCUGAAGUGUCUGUACACUUAAAGAGGAAGUCUCUGAAACCAAAACCAAAUAAGCAUAAGGAUAUAAGACAUCAGCAGUCUCGUAACAUUCCACCCAAACAUACUGAAUCGCUCUUUUGUGCCAGCGAUGCUCCAGCCACACCAGCCCUUGUUUCAUCUGCCUGGACCACUCCCCCCUUUCUUUCACAGAGCAAUCUCUCUCAGCUCACUCAUUGGAGAGAGAAGCCUUCUCUGACCAAGCAAUCUAAAUAAAGUAGCAGCGCCCGGGUCGCUGUCCAUCUGCUACUCUGUUUUAUUGUCUUUUGCUAUACUUCUACUUGUCUGAAGGUAUUUGGUUUUUGUUUACAUAUUGUCCAAUAAGUACCAGUUGAAUGCCUGAAGGAACUGAUGAGUAUGUUAGGUCAGGUUCCCUAGAAGCAGAGCCCGAGACAUGAAUGCUUCUGCAAAGGAUUUAUAGAGGGAAUGCUUUCCACAGAAACCUGUAAGGGUCUGAGGAAAGCAGAAGAGGGAAGAAGAAGCUAAUUAAGAAUGUGAAGGCUAGGGCCGCUUGGGUGACUCAGUUGGUUAAGCAUCCGACUUUGGGCGUCAUUAUCUUACUGCUUGUGGGUUCAAUGUGAGUUCAAGCCCCGCAUCGGGCUCAGAGCCUGGAGCCUCCUUCAGAUUCUGUGUCUCCCUCUCUCUCUGCCCCUCCCCUGCUUGCUCUCUCUCUCUCUCUCUC